GCUGUUCUGUAAUGACCCUAAACCUUGCCCAAGGGUCAGGUUGUUUUCUUUAAAAGAGAGAAAAGAGAGAGAAGAGAGAGAGAGAGAGAGAGGAGAGAGAGGAGAGAGAGAGAGAGGGGGAGAAAGCUCACCAGAAGUCCUCGCCGGAGCCACCACACGCCAGACCGUUGAGUUCGCCACCACCAUCAUCCGCAACCAAAGAUAUGGAGUCUAUUUGAGCAGCUGGAGUUCAUAGACAACACUUUUCUAUUGCUAAGGUGAGACAAACAAGUAUGUGAUAUUGGACGGACUUGGUGCUAUUGGACUUUUCUUUCGGAUUUUAUUUGGGCAUGGGUGAGAGUUGUCGGGUUUAUGGGCUUUUAUAUUACAGGAUAUUGUUGGUGGCCCGUCGUCCUUAGUGUCAGGGAGACGGGUAUCACAUUGUUGUAUGAUGACGCGUCGGGGGUGACACGCUGUCCUCCAUAUAGGAGGUGACGGGUGUCACAAUUUGGUAUCAGAGCGGGUUCCAUCCCGGUUCCGUCCGGGAUGGCGGUCAGGGGAUUCGGUUUUCAUCGGUUUUCAACUUAAAAAAAAAAAACUAUAUAUUUAUUUAUACAUUUCGAAAUUCUUUUUGCACCAUUCUGUCCAGUAAUUACUAACUCAAAUGUCUCUUUCUAUGACGAUGAGUAAAAUCAUCGUCAUUCGUCCUUCGACUAUCAAGGUUCUCGACAGAUGUUCAGCAGUUGCGUGAAGUCCAAGUUCGUCAGUUUCUGGAGGGAGUUAUCAGUUUCUUCGGACAUGAUUUCGAGGCUAUCCAGGAGUGGAUAUAUGACGUUUCUGCCACCAGCCCACUUCAAGCAAUCGUUCCACGAGUUUUGUUACUAGAGAUUUUGUGGUGUGUGAUAUGAGCCAUUGGUUGGCAUGUGUUGUUGUGUGUACGAGUAUAUUGACUAUUUUGGAGAUAUAUUGUUUUGUGAACUCGUGGAGAUCGCUUUUGAAUUGGGGUGCAGCAGCUUGCGUUGUGUGGGUGUUGGAGUUACACUUUGGUAUGUUUACCAAUUUUGGCAGUGUUGAUCGUUUCAGAGAUGUGUCAGUUUGGACAACUGACAUAGGACAUUGGGAGCUGUUUAUAUCCAUCGCAGGGUACCAGUUAUGCUUGGAGGGCCGAUUUGUUCGGAUAUUCAUCAGAGAUGGAGCUACGUUUUUACGAUGUUAUCCUUGGGACGGAUUGAUUGUCACGGCAUCAAGUAGUGUUGGAUUGCCUGAUGGCAAGAGUUCCGAUUGCUGGAGCAGAUGGAAGUUGUUAGUGCAUGCAUGCUACAUACUGAGGAGUUAUGGGAUACAAGGACAUAGAGAUUUUUGACUACCAUCUCGAUGGUUAAGGCUGAUGGACAACAUGAGCUGCAGGAUCUUCCGGUUAUUGCAGAGUAUGAGGACAUAUUUGUGACCUUUGGAACGGUCAUCACAUGACACAUGAGAAACUCUUGCGUUUUGUUUGGAGCAAACAACACCAGUUUCACAAGUUUUAUACCGAUUAGCACCAACAGAGAUGACAAAGCUGAAAGAGCAUGUUGAAGAUUCAUCAGACAAGGGUUUUAUCAGACCGGAUACUUUACCGUGGGGAACAUCAUCAUUGUUGUUGUAAAGAAGAAAGGUGGGAGUUUCAAUUUGUAUCGACUACAAAGGUCUGAACAAAGUGACCAUUAAAGAUAAGUAUCGCUUCCGCGCGUUGAUGAAUUAGUGGAUUAUUUAUAGGAAGUUUAUAGUUCUCGAAGGUUGACAUGGCAUCAGAACACCAUCAGAUUACUAUAUUUGAAGAGUAUCUACUGAAUGUGAAUUUUUGUAUACAUUAUGGAUAUUAUGGGACGCAGUGAUACCAUUUGGGUCGACAAAGGCACUGUUGCAUUCAUGAAGAUAUGAAUGACGUUUUCAUGAACAUUUGGAUAGGUGUGCGAUUGUAUUCCUCGAUGACAUCCUGAUUUAUUUUGGAGAAGAAAGGAGAUUUGUGAGCAUUUCGCGGAUUGCGUUGGAUAAGCCUGGAGAGCAUCAGUUGUUCGCUAAGUUGAGGAAGUGUAGCUUCUGGCAGAGGAAUGUUGUAUUUUUUGGCUGACAUGGUUUUGGAAGCAGAAUUUUGAUGGAUCCAAAGAAGAUUAAUACCGUUUCGGGAAGGUCGAAACCUAAGAGCGCUACAAAGAUCUGCCGUUCUUUUUGGGUUAAUAGUAUACUACUGGAAGUUCAUCAAGGGUUUCACCGGUAUAGUAAUGUUAAAGACGCGGUCUACAUGUAAAGACGUAAAGUGUGGCUGGAUAGAUUUUGUUCGAGGAGUUUCACUGAAUUGAAGCACAACUAAUGAAGACACCAGUUUUGGGUUCUACUGAGGCUGAGGCUUACUGUGAUGUGUCAGAUACUGGAUUGGAUUUAAAUUAAGGUAUGAGGAUUAAGUCAUUCAUAUGCAUCAUGCCAGAGAGGCUGUAGUGGUAUUUGCGUUAUAGUUUUGGAGAUCGUAAUUGUACGGGAAGGAAGUUCAGAUUCUCUGGGAUUAUUAGAAUGUGAAAUUUAUCUUCAUUUAUUAAAAACUUGUACUUGGACAGUGCAGUUGGAUUGAGUUUGUAGCAGGCAGUUUUGCUAUGGAGGAUACACAAGCACAAGUUAGCAUUAUGGAUUGGUUGAACAGAUCGAGAUUGGGAGUAUUGGAUAUCAUACAGCUUUGAGCAGGAUAUACUUGUACUGAAACCGAGUUUGUGUGUGGACGAUAAGUUGUUAAGAAAAGGAAUCUUACAACAAACAUAUCACUCGUGUUUCUCUACCCAUCGGGAAGACCAAAGGGUACAAAGAUAUGAAGAGUUAACUAUAAUUGGUGUAGUAUGAAGAUGUUUGUAACUACAUUGCGUCGCGGUGCCAGACAUGUUAUAUGGCAAUAACAGAGGAUCAGUCAUCUAUCAUGUUAUUUUUGAGCUUGCUUUUGCUGGAGUAGAAAUGAGGCAUGGUGAUUAUGGACAUUGUUAUUGGAUUUUAAAUCACCAUAUGUGGAAAGGAUGCCACAUGGGUAGUCAUGGAUAGACUUACCAAGUCAGCCCAUUUCCUAAGUAAUUAAGAAGAUAAUCAGGGCUAAUCAAUUGGAGCAGACCUACAUUAUUGAGUUCAGGAAGUUUCAUGGAUGUCAACAUUGUAUCGGAUUGGGAAUCGAAGUUCACAUCUACAUUUCAGAAAGCCUUUCGGAAGGCACUUGGUACAAAGAUCAUAUGAGUACAUCUUAUCACCCGUUGACAUAUUGUCAGUUAGAGAGGACUAUUGAGAACUUAAAUGAUAUGUUCAGAGAUUGCGUGGGAUGGAAUUUCGGAAAGCAUCUACCUUUACCAGAGUUUGCCUACAUCGACAAUUAUCUUUCGAGUAAAAAAAAAAAAAAAAAAAAAAAAAAAAAAAAAAAAAAAUAUACAAGGGUUAUUUAUGGUAGACCUUAUAGUAUACCACUUUGUUGGACCAAAGUGGGGGAGCGACAUGAGUUAAAAGUAUUAAUGGUUCAAAAGACGGCUGAGCAAAUGGAAAUGCUCAAUGAUGGGCUUUCGGAAUCCCAUGACGUCAGAGAAUUUAUGCAGCUAAGCACCGUAAGGAUUUGGAGCUACAUAUGAGCACCUAAUAUACCUGAAAAUAAGGACAUUUCAGGAGGGACCUAAGACUCAGAAGAUAAAGGAGCUUAAACCGAGACACAUGGAAUUGUAUCCUUCGCUGGAGUGGAUUGGAUUAAUUGCUUGCAGUUACUUUAUCAGCAGUAUAUCAGCCUUCUAGUACUUGGUUCAUAUGACAGCAUUGCAAAAGUUGAGAAGGCGCUAUAACUAUUUUGCAGUAGACAUCAAGUGAGUUCAUAAAGAUUUUAUGAACCUUAUUAUCUAUUGGAGAUUUUGGAUCAUCAUGAGAAGACAGUUCGGGGAAUAUCGACUUUGUUUGUCCGAGUUCAUUGGGAGGGAGAUAAGACCCAGGAGGAGACCUGAAAGGUCGAGCGAAGAUUAGUAUUCGAGGUUUUGCUAUGAUGACAUUGGGCACGUCAGCUUAUGACAUGAAUUCGGGGACGAAUUCCUUGUAAGUGGGGGAGAAUUGUAAUGACCCUAAACCUUGCCCAAGGGUCAGGUUGUUUUCUUUAAAAGAGAGAGAGAGAGAGAGAGAGAGAGAGAGAGAGGAGAGCUCACCAGAAGUCCUCGCCGGAGCCACCACACGCCAGACCGUUGAGUUCGCCACCACCAUCAUCCGCAACCAAAGGUAACCAGAAACCGCCAUAUUUUUGAGUUUAGUUUCGGCCGUUUUAGUAAAUCGACCAUAACUUCUUAACCGUUGCGAAUCUCGUGCAUCCAAGCCCAUCAUCGUGUUCCUCUCGUCGAGACGAAGCCGUAGACACCAAGCACGCCUCAAACGGAGCCCGGACGAAGCCGUACGCGCCUCCAGAAAACCGCCCUUCGCGCGCGCGUGAAACGCACGCGCCGCCGCCGGAAAUCGUCGCCACCGCAGCUCCGCCGCCGGACCACCGUCCGCCGCCGCAGCUCCGCCGUCGCCGCCGGCCAAUUUUCCGGUAAGCCGCCGCCGCAGCUCCGCCGUCGCCGCCGGUGACCGACACCGGUGACUCACCGGCGACUCGGUCAACUCGGCGAGUCAACUCAGUGAGUCAACUCGGUUGACUCGGUUAACCGGUUGGUUAGCCGGUUUAAAUUGAUUUUGGUUCGGUUAGGGUAAACCGGUCGGUUUAGUCAAAUCGAUUUCCGGGUUGACUUUGACCGGGUUGACUUUGACCAGCGGGUUGACUUUUUCGAAAACCUUGACCAGUUCCGUUUUCGACCGUUCGAAAGGCGUUCUGACUCAGAAUUUCGAUCUGAUUUCAGAUAUGGAGUCUAUUUGAGCAGCUGGAGUUCAUAGACAACACUUUUCUAUUGCUAAGGUGAGACAAACAAGUAUGUGAUAUUUGGACGGACUUGGUGCUAUUGGACUUUUCUUUCGGAUUUUAUUUGGGCAUGGGUGAGAGUUGUCGGGUUUAUGGGCUUUUAUAUUACAGGAUAUUGUUGGUGGCCCGUCGUCCUUAGUGUCAGGGAGACGGGUAUCACAUUGUUGUAUGAUGACGCGUCGGGGGUGACACGCUGUCCUCCAUAUAGGAGGUGACGGGUGUCACAUGUUCUCUCUCCACUGCCCUGUGCUUAUUACGUCUUUGCUUCUUCCUCCCCUUGUAGCUGAAACGUUCACCUCCAGGGAACCUGUAACGUUAUCAAACUCUUGCAAUUUCAUUAUAUCUCCAUCA